GAUUUUGUUUCAAUAAGGUCACUAAUGCCAAAACUUGUAGUGAAUUUAGCCCAAUUUUUUAUAUGUGAAUUGAGAGAUCAUAAACUAUUAUCAAUUGUUAGAACUAUAUUAGAAAAUUUUACUUGUUAUCAUGCCAAAAAUCUCAUUAAAAUUCUACCAAAAUCUAGUGAUAGCCCUUAUUAAAAGAGAAUUAAAGUUGAAUGAUUUUGCUUAUACAUAUUGAGGAUUAGUGACCCUGCUAAAAUAAUUGACAAGUUCAAUAACCAAAGGUAAAAUUAUGUCAACUGAAUGGUGAAACAUUUUGUCUGCAUAAUAUAUCAUAGCUCUAUAUUUUAGAACUCAUUCUUUCAUGCUUUCCUAAAGCUUCUUUAUCAUACAAGCAGGAAUCAGCUGCAAAUAUGAUAUCCACAUAGAUAUAUCAAGCAGAAGCCAUCUGGCCACUAUUCAAUUAGAUUGCAAAUUGAAGAUGAUGACAAAAAUAACAAAAUUAUGAUUCCCAUACUUCCAAAGAGUAGUGAGGAAAAAAAAAGGAUAAGAAACAUACAGCCCCAGCUGACCAGUGAAUAG
rnacentral:misc_RNA from 1 species